rnacentral:lncRNA from 1 species
AAUAGCAUUGCCUGUUGCAUAUAUACACAAAGAAGAAGAAACAAUUAUUCAUUUUACCUGUCAAUGCAAGAUUCUGUGCUCUCUCCUCUGAGUAGUGAGUGACUAGUGUGUGAAAAUGACAAGUUGUAAGAGGGGAAGCCAUACCUCCUGAAGAACAUCAAGACAAGGUUCAUCCGAUCUCUGUGCUUUCCUAAUCCCACCAAGCUGAUCUUGAAUUGCCUUCAACAGGUGCAUUUCCUCUUCUGCUGUAGUAGUAGUAGUCGAUACAUUCUCAGGGAUCUUGUUCCUAGCCCUUUCCAGCCUCUCUAUCCGGCUCAUCAGCUUCAGAUACUCCCCUGGAGAUACCAAUGGAUGAGGUGGCAGACAAGCAUGGUGAUCCAUCACGUUCACUGGUGCAUCUUUUGGAGCUUUCUUCUCAGUUUGUGAACAAUGCAGCACAGUUUUCACCUCUUCUUCUGCUGAUGUCUCCUCCUGUUUAUGAACUAACUCAUCCUCGGAUGACGCCAAAUCUUUCUUUCCAGAUAUUCGAUUUCCUUUCUUCCUAGGUGAGGAAAAAGUCAAAGCAGCCUCAAGGUCAGUAGCAUUAGUUUGUUGUGAAUACAAAGAAUGUGACCAAGUGCCACCUCUCGAUAUACUAGUUGGCUUGUUCUUGCCAUCUGCUGAUAUCCCUUUGAGUCGUUCGUCGAGCUUCUUAAUCUGUUCCCAGCAAGAAUUGAUGUCUCCAUGCGUAGCAGGAGCCACUAGCUUCUUCUCC